rnacentral:rRNA from 1 species
AUUGAACGCUGGCGGCAUGCCUUACACAUGCAGGUCGAACGGCAGCACGGGUGCUUGCACCUGGUGGCGAGUGGCGAACGGGUGAGUAAUACAUCGGAACAUGUCCUGUAGUGGGGGAUAGCCCGGCGAAAGCCGGAUUAAUACCGCAUACGAUCUACGGAUGAAAGCGGGGGACCUUCGGGCCUCGCGCUAUAGGGUUGGCCGAUGGCUGAUUAGCUAGUUGGUGGGGUAAAGGCCUACCAAGGCGACGAUCAGUAGCUGGUCUGAGAGGACGACCAGCCACACUGGGACUGAGACACGGCCCAGACUCCUACGGGGGGCAGCAGUGGGGAAUUUUGGACAAUGGGCGAAAGCCUGAUCCAGCAAUGCCGCGUGUGUGAAGAAGGCCUUCGGGUUGUAAAGCACUUUUGUCCGGAAAGAAAUCCUUGGCCCUAAUACGGUCGGGGGAUGACGGUACCGGAAGAAUAAGCACCGGCUAACUACGUG